rnacentral:rRNA from 2 species
CACACGACUCUCGGCAACGGAUAUCUCGGCUCUCGCAUCGAUGAAGAACGUAGCGAAAUGCGAUACCUGGUGUGAAUUGCAGAAUCCCGCGAACCAUCGAGUCUUUGAACGCAAGUUGCGCCCGAGGCCAUUUGGUUGAGGGCACGCCUGCCUGGGUGUCACGC